rnacentral:rRNA from 1 species
AGUUGGGGGCAUCAGUAUUCUGAAGCGAGAGGUGAAAUUCUUGGACCUUCGGAAGACUAACAACUGCGAAAGCAUUUGCCUAGGAUGUUCUCUUUAAUCAAGAACGAAAGUUGGGGGAUCGAAGACGAUCAGAUACCGUCGUAGUCUCAACUAUAAACUAUGCCAGCUAGGGAUUGGUGGACGUUUAUUUACGACUCCAUCAGCACCUUAUGGGAAAUCAAAGCAUUUGGGUUCCGGGGGGAGUAUGGUCGCAAGGCUGAAACUUAAAGGAAUUGACGGGAGGGCACCACCAGGAGUGGAGCCUGUGGCUUAAUUUGACUCAACACGGGAAAACUUACCAGGUCCGGACAUAGUA